rnacentral:rRNA from 1 species
GGGACACGUGGUAUCCUGUCUGAAUAUGGGGGGACCAUCCUCCAAGGCUAAAUACUCCUGACUGACCGAUAGUGAACCAGUACCGUGAGGGAAAGGCGAAAAGAACCCCGGCGAGGGGAGUGAAAAAGAACCUGAAACCGUGUACGUACAAGCAGUGGGAGCCUCUUAAUGGGGUGACUGCGUACCUUUUGUAUAAUGGGUCAGCGACUUAUAUUCUGUAGCAAGGUUAACCGAAUAGGGGAGCCGAAGGGAAACCGAGUCUUAACUGGGCGUUAAGUUGCAGGGUAUAGACCCGAAACCCGGUGAUCUAGCCAUGGGCAGGUUGAAGGUUGGGUAACACUAACUGGAGGACCGAACCGACUAAUGUUGAAAAAUUAGCGGAUGACUUGUGGCUGGGGGUGAAAGGCCAAUCAAACCGGGAGAUAGCUGGUUCUCCCCGAAAGCUAUUUAGGUAGCGCCUCGUGAAUUCAUCUCCGGGGGUAGAGCACUGUUUCGGCAAGGGGGUCAUCCCGACUUACCAACCCGAUGCAAACUGCGAAUACCGGAGAAUGUUAUCACGGGAGACACACGGCGGGUGCUAACGUCCGUCGUGAAGAGGGAAACAACCCAGACCGCCAGCUAAGGUCCCAAAGUCAUGGUUAAGUGGGAAACGAUGUGGGAAGGCCCAGACAGCCAGGAUGUUGGCUUAGAAGCAGCCAUCAUUUAAAGAAAGCGUAAUAGCUCACUGGUCGAGUCGGCCUGCGCGGAAGAUGUAACGGGGCUAAACCAUGCACCGAAGCUGCGGCAGCGACACUAUGUGUUGUUGGGUAGGGGAGCGUUCUGUAAGCCUGUGAAGGUGUACUGUGAGGUAUGCUGGAGGUAUCAGAAGUGCGAAUGCUGACAUAAGUAACGAUAAAGCGGGUGAAAAGCCCGCUCGCCGGAAGACCAAGGGUUCCUGUCCAACGUUAAUCGGGGCAGGGUGAGUCGACCCCUAAGGCGAGGCCGAAAGGCGUAGUCGAUGGGAAACAGGUUAAUAUUCCUGUACUUGGUGUUACUGCGAAGGGGGGACGGAGAAGGCUAUGUUGGCCGGGCGACGGUUGUCCCGGUUUAAGCGUGUAGGCUGGUUUUCCAGGCAAAUCCGGAAAAUCAAGGCUGAGGCGUGAUGACGAGGCACUACGGUGCUGAAGCGACAAAUGCCCUGCUUCCAGGAAAAGCCUCUAAGCAUCAGGUAACAUCAAAUCGUACCCCAAACCGACACAGGUGGUCAGGUAGAGAAUACCAAGGCGCUUGAGAGAACUCGGGUGAAGGAACUAGGCAAAAUGGUGCCGUAACUUCGGGAGAAGGCACGCUGAUAUGUAGGUGAAGCGACUUGCUCGUGGAGCUGAAAUCAGUCGAAGAUACCAGCUGGCUGCAACUGUUUAUUAAAAACACAGCACUGUGCAAACACGAAAGUGGACGUAUACGGUGUGACGCCUGCCCGGUGCCGGAAGGUUAAUUGAUGGGGUUAGCGGUAACGCGAAGCUCUUGAUCGAAGCCCCGGUAAACGGCGGCCGUAACUAUAACGGUCCUAAGGUAGCGAAAUUCCUUGUCGGGUAAGUUCCGACCUGCACGAAUGGCGUAAUGAUGGCCAGGCUGUCUCCACCCGAGACUCAGUGAAAUUGAACUCGCUGUGAAGAUGCAGUGUACCCGCGGCAAGACGGAAAGACCCCGUGAACCUUUACUAUAGCUUGACACUGAACAUUGAGCCUUGAUGUGUAGGAUAGGUGGGAGGCUUUGAAGUGUGGACGCCAGUCUGCAUGGAGCCGACCUUGAAAUACCACCCUUUAAUGUUUGAUGUUCUAACGUGGGCCCCUUACCGGGGUUGCGGACAGUGUCUGGUGGGUAGUUUGACUGGGGCGGUCUCCUCCUAAAGAGUAACGGAGGAGCACGAAGGUUGGCUAAUCCUGGUCGGACAUCAGGAGGUUAGUGCAAUGGCAUAAGCCAGCUUGACUGCGAGCGUGACGGCGCGAGCAGGUGCGAAAGCAGGUCAUAGUGAUCCGGUGGUUCUGAAUGGAAGGGCCAUCGCUCAACGGAUAAAAGGUACUCCGGGGAUAACAGGCUGAUACCGCCCAAGAGUUCAUAUCGACGGCGGUGUUUGGCACCUCGAUGUCGGCUCAUCACAUCCUGGGGCUGAAGUAGGUCCCAAGGGUAUGGCUGUU